UACAGAGGUGCCGAGCGUUAGGCGGAAUCACUGGGCUUAAAGCGUGUGUAGGCGGACUUCUAAGUACCUUGUGAAAUCCCACGGCUCACCCGUGGAACUGCUGGGUAUACUGGUCGUCUUGAGCCACCUAGGGGCGAGCGGAACAAAUGGUGGAGCGGUGAAAUGCGUAGAUAUCAUUUGGAACGCCAAAGGCGAAAGCAGGCUGCUGGGAGUGAUCUGACGCUGAGACACGAAAGCCAGGGGAGCAAACGGG
rnacentral:rRNA from 1 species